GGGAGAUCCUUCUUAUAGAGUGAGCUCAAUUAUGGAAAUUUUAGCUUAUUUUAUUUGAUAUUUGGUGAAAACUGAGAAUUUUGACUAUUGGUUCUACUUCUAUCUUCCUUUUCACUGCCCCACCCAAAAACCCUUCUCGCCUUCCCUUCUUUGCUUCUUUGUUGAUCAGAACUAUUUGUUUGCAGGAAUCAUUUUCAAAAAGAUGUUUU
rnacentral:misc_RNA from 1 species